GCGUAACACCACUUUCACCCAUUUCUUUACUCUAUUCUCUACACCCUUUAGCUUCCUCAAAUUUCAAAAAACUCUCUCCCUUUCUCUCUUCCAUCGAUCUUUCUCUAGGACUCCAUGGCUCAAUCUCCAUGGCUACAGCUAGCAGCCACCGUGUUCUGCUCCACCAAUUCCGAUGGUGGUUCCGCUUGAAGGAGAGACCCACUCUUGGGACGAUGCAAAGAAACUUGACAGUGUUGCCUAGAGGUGCUGUCAAAGGAGUCUUGGUUCGACUCAUUUAGUCUUGGAAUGUAGAACAAAUGCUGUUGAAGGAGUCCAAUCUGCUGGCUGGGUUAUCAAAUUGAAGAAAGAGAUUUGGGUAGAUUAGUUUUAGUCUAUUGAUAGGCUUAUCAAAUUAAGGCUCCUAUCAUUUAGGAAGAGUUACCUGCUUGUUAGUAGAUUAUUCUUCAAAUGUAAUUCUUUAUUUAUUUAUUUUUUUAGUUGGAGACAUUGUAUUUAGUUACUAUUUAAUCAAUGAAAAAUAGAAGAAUCAAGGAGUACUACAAUCCAAAAUUCUUCUCUUUCUCAAA